UGACCUGGAAGUCCAAGGGAACCGCGGCCACGAAAAGCCGUCCGGGGACGACUUGCCGGCCCGUACCGCAAUCCGACACAGGUGUGCCAGGCGAGAAUCCAAAGGCGUUCGGGAGAACCCUCGUGAAGGAACUCGGCAAAAUGACCCCGUACCCUCGGUACAAGGGGUGCUCCCUCGCAAGGGGGAGCCGCAGAGAAUCGGCUCUAGCGACUGUUUAUCAAAAACACAGGACUCUGCCAACUCGCAAGAGGACGUAUAGAGUCUGACGCCUGCUCGGUGUCGGUAGGUUAAGGGAGGCGAUUAGCGCAAGCGAGGUUGCCGACCGAAGCCCCGAUAAACGGCGGCCGUAACUAUGACGGUCCUAAGGUAGCGAGGUUCCUUGUCGGGUAAGUUCCGACCUGCAUGAAUGGCGUAACGACUGGAGCACUGUCUCCACGAGGGACCCGGUGAAACUGUAGUCGUGGUGAAGAUGCCACGUACCCGCGGUUAGACGGAAAGACCCCGUGAACCUUUACUGCAGGUUGGCACUGGUCCAAUGCUCGUUCUGUGUAGGAUAGGUGGGAGGCUGUGAUCCGGCGGCGCCAGCCGUCGGGGAGCCGAUGGUGAAAUACCACCCUGAAUGAUCGUCGGCCCUCACCGGUACGUAGCCCGUAUCGGGACCGUGCUCAUCGGGCAGUUUGACUGGGGCGGUCUCCUCCCAAAGAGUAACGGAGGAGCGCCAUGGUACCCUCGGCCCGGUCGGCAAUCGGGCAACGGGAGCGCAAACGUAGAAGGGUGCCUGACUGCGAGUCCGAUGGGACGAGCAGGGACGAAAGUCGGCGUUAGUGAUCCGGCGGUGCUGGAUGGAAAGGCCGUCGCUCAACAGAUGAAAGGUACUCCGGGGAUAACAGGCUGAUCUCCCCCGAGCGUCCCUAGCGGCGGGGAGGUUUGGCACCUCGAUGUCGGCUCAUCGCAUCCUGGGGCUGGAGAAGGUCCCAAGGGUUUGGCUGUUCGCCAAUGAAAGCGGUACGCGAGCUGGGUUCAGACCGUCGUGAGACAGGUCGGUCCCUAUCUGCCGUGGGCGUAGGAAACUUGAGGAGAGUCUCCCCUAGUACGAGAGGAUUGGGGAGGACCGACCUCUGGUGUGCCGGCUGUCCCGCUCGGGGCAUCGCCGGGUAGCCAGGUCGGGAGAGGAUAAGCGCUGAAGGCAUCUAAGCGCGAAGCCCCCUCCGAGAUGAGGUUUCCAGCAGGCAACUGCACAGGCUCCUGGAAGACGACCAGGCCGAUAGGCCGGGCGUGCACGGCGGGCGACCGCCUCAGCCGACCGGUCCUAACAGCCGAGCAGCUUAACCAC
rnacentral:rRNA from 1 species